CACGUAGGGUGCGAGCGUUGUCCGGAAUUAUUGGGCGUAAAGAGCUCGUAGGCGGUGUGUCGCGUCGGCCGUGAAAACCUGCAGCUUAACUGUGGGCUUGCGGUCGAUACGGGCAUCACUGGAGUUCGGCAGGGGAGACUGGAAUUCCUGGUGUAGCGGUGAAAUGCGCAGAUAUCAGGAGGAACACCGAGUGGCGAAGGCAGGUCUCUGGGCCACUACUGACGCUGGAGAAGCGGAAAGCAUGGGGAGCGAACAGG
rnacentral:rRNA from 1 species